GAUGAACGCUAGCGGCAGGCCUAACACAUGCAAGUCGAGGGGGAAGUUACUUUCGGGUAACUGAGACCGGCGUACGGGUGCGUAACGCGUAUACAAUCUGCCUUUCACUGGGGGAUAGCCCGAAGAAAUUUGGAUUAAUACCCCAUAGUAUAGUAGUGUGGCAUCACACAACUAUUAAAGCUUAGGUGGUGAAAGAUGAGUAUGCGUUCUAUUAGCUAGUUGGCGAGGUAACGGCUCCCCAAGGCUAUGAUAGAUAGGGGUUCUGAGAGGGAUGUCCCCCACACUGGUACUGAGCUACAGACCAGACUCCUACGGGAGGCAGCAGUGAGGAAUAUUGGACAAUGGUCGGAAGACUGAUCCAGCCAUGCCGCGUGCAGUAUGAAGGUCUUAUGGAUUGUAAACUGCUUUUGUAAGGGAAGAAUAAGGACUACGUGUAGUUUGAUGACGGUACCUUAUGAAUAAGCAUCGGCUAACUCCGUG
rnacentral:rRNA from 1 species